ACCAACAGGGGGAGCCAGAGAGCCAGGAGGGGAGUUCAGAGAACCAACAGGGGGAGCCAGAGAGCCAACAGCUAGAAGCUCCAGGAGAGGCUGAAACAUCAGAGCCAACCUCCAAGAACAAGAAAAGGCCAGGCAUCUGGAAGAGAAUUAAGAUGAGCAUUCCUGACGUGCUGUCUGCCUAGAGCUGGAACUCGAUGAAGCCACAGUUCCACUGAGGUUACAUUGGUAAUUAAAAGUGUCGCCCAAUAAUUCCUCCUCCUCUUUAAGUCAUCAAGCCACAUUUCCUCCACAAAACAUGAUAUUCUCCUCAAGCCAGAAAGUAUCCUCUUUAUCAAGGCAACAAACCAUCUAAGGUCAGUGACUCUCCUCCCCAGAGCAGAGAUUCUCAUCUUUAUCCAAGUUGAAUUCAUCUCUGCUCACCACCUCUACUGUCCUAGAAAAUAUCCCCAAAUGGACAUGGUUUAAACAGAAGUCCUCCCCUUAGACCAGUGGCUCCACAGACCAGAGUUUCUCAUCUUUAUUCAAGUUGAAUGCAACUCUGAUCAUUUCCACCACCUCACCUGUUAAGGGGAGGUGCUGAAAAGGAGGUCUGGGAGGAGGUCUGCAGGUAGCCUGGACCGGACCGGUUGCAGCUAAGUUGCUGGCUCCAUCCCCGGGCAGAGCUGCUCAAGUCAGGCCAGUGAUGUUUGUUGAUGUCAUUUUCGUUAGCAAAGUUGUACGCUUUAAUAAAAGCAGUUAUUAAAAAAGCAA